CGGUGCCCCUCACUCCCGACCCGCAGCCCCUGCUAGCCCAGCCCUGCCCCCCCACCCCCAGCUCUGCUGGGCUAAUGUUACAAACUGCUGCUCUCACACUGUGCUGCUGGCAGCAGUUACUGACAGCUGGGGGAGAUUGUUGCCUUUCCUCAGCCUCCGGGCCAGGACAUCACUUCAUCCCACUGCCCCUGCUGCCCGGACACCCCUUGGCUCUGGCAGGAGCUGUGCAAACUCAGGCUCUUCUUGGAGGAGGACGAGGGCAUGAUGGAGGCCCAAAUCCUGGCACAGGAGGGGGUCAGGGGCAGCUACCACCAGUGCCUGCGCUGCCAGCACCUCAUCCAGCGCCUGGACCCUGGGAUUCUGCGCACCCCCUGCCUGUCCUGCUCCCAGCGGGCCGGGGGCUGUACUCAUAGAAUCGUAGAAUAUCAGGGUUGGAAGGGACCUCAGGAGGUCAUCUAGUCCAACCCCGUGCUCAAAGCAGGAUCAAGCCCCAAUUUUUGCCCCAGAUUCCUAAAUGGCCCCCUCAAGGAUUGAGCUCACAACCCUAGGUUUAGCAGGCCAAUGCUCAAACCACUGAGCUAUCCCUCUCCCCUCUGCUUCUGCUGCGGCUACUGCAUGGACUGGAGGGACCCCUCAUCCCAUGCUGCCCUGUGAUCGCCCCUACAGGCCGUGCUGCAUGAUGCCCCCAAGAUCCAGGCCCCAAGGGUGUCCAUCCAUGGCUGCCAUCUUUAACCUGGUUCUUUUCCAUUUAGAAGGACGGGUGGGAACCCAGAGAGGGACAAAGUAUUCCCGCCUUGUGCAACAGAUAUAUAAGGGGGUGGAACAGAAAAAGGGGGGCUGCAGUCAUGAGAAAUCCCCUAGC